rnacentral:ncRNA from 1 species
GUAGUGAAGUAUGUUAUUCCAUUAGAUGGUCCGCGAGAAACCUUACCACGGCUUGUAUAGCAAAUGGUAAAAGAUUGUUAGAAGUGCUGCAUGGCUGUCUUUAGUCAAUGUCGUGGGACUUUAUUAUUCUCUUUGAUUAACGAAACUCCUCGCUCUAUUUAUUUUUAUAAAAGUAGUUGACGAGAACAUUGGACUAGAUAAUAGGCUUUUAAGACAGGCCAUUUUGGCCUAAAUGCUGCGGGCUAUAUAGACAUGCCACAUACGCCUUUGCAAGAUACUAUAUUGUGAAAUGGACCUGAUUCCUGAAAGAGGGAGUAAGAUGGGUGGUGGUCUGUAACGCGACUACAUGAAGAAAGAAACACUAGUAAUGGUGAAUCUCUAACGUCUAUAAAU